rnacentral:rRNA from 1 species
AUUGAACGCUGGCGGCAGGCUUAACACAUGCACGUCGAGCGAGCGGCGGACGGGUGAGUAAUGACUGGGAAACUGCCUGAUGGAGGGGGAUAACUACUGGAAACGGUAGCUAAUACCGCAUACCAUCAGAUGUGCCCAGAUGGGAUUAGCUAGUAGGGGGGGUAAUGGCUACCAUAGGCGACGAUCCCUAGCUGGUCUGAGAGGAUGACGAGCAACACUGGAACUGUGACAAGGUCCAGACUCCGACGGGAGGCAGCAGUGGGGAAGAUUGCACAAUGGGCGCAAGCCUGAUGCAGCCAUGCCGGGUGUGUGAAGAAGGCCUUCGGGUUGUAAAGCACUUUCAGCGAGGAGGCGUUACUCGCAGAAGAAGCACCGGCUAACUCCGGGACAGCAGCCGCGGUAAUAC